GACGAACGCUGGCGGCGUGCUUAACACAUGCAAGUCGAACGCUGAAGCCUAGCUUGCUGGGUGGAUGAGUGGCGAACGGGUGAGUAACACGUGAGUAACCUGCCCCCUUCUUUGGGAUAACGCCCGGAAACGGGUGCUAAUACUGGAUAUUCACUGAUCUUCGCAUGGGGGUUGGUGGAAAGGUUUUUUCUGGUGGGGGAUGGGCUCGCGGCCUAUCAGCUUGUUGGUGGGGUGAUGGCCUACCAAGGCUUUGACGGGUAGCCGGCCUGAGAGGGUGACCGGUCACAUUGGGACUGAGAUACGGCCCAGACUCCUACGGGAGGCAGCAGUGGGGAAUAUUGCACAAUGGGCGAAAGCCUGAUGCAGCGACGCCGCGUGAGGGAUGGAGGCCUUCGGGUUGUAAACCUCUUUCGCUCAUGGUCAAGCCGCAACAUUGGUUGUGGUGAGGGUAGUGGGUAAAGAAGCGCCGGCUAACUACGUGCCAGCAGCCGCGGUAAUACGUAGGGCGCGAGCGUUGUCCGGAAUUAUUGGGCGUAAAGGGCUUGUAGGCGGUUGGUCGCGUCUGCCGUGAAAUCCUCUGGCUUAACUGGGGGCGUGCGGUGGGUACGGGCUGACUUGAGUGCGGUAGGGGAGACUGGAACUCCUGGUGUAGCGGUGGAAUGCGCAGAUAUCAGGAAGAACACCGGUGGCGAAGGCGGGUCUCUGGGCCGUUACUGACGCUGAGGAGCCAAAGCGUGGGGAGCGAACAGG
rnacentral:rRNA from 1 species